rnacentral:rRNA from 1 species
UACCAGCACCCCGAGUGGUCGGGACGUUUAUUGGGCCUAAAGCAUCCGUAGCCGGUUCUACAAGUCUUCCGUUAAACCCAACUGUUUAACAGGUGGGCUGCGGAAGAUACUAUAGAGCUAGGAGGCGGGAGAGGCAAGCGGUACUCGAUGGGUAGGGGUAAAAUCCGUUGAUCCAUUGAAGACCACCAGUGGCGAAGGCGGCUUGCCAGAACGCGCUCGACGGUGAGGGAUGAAAGCUGGGGGAGCAAACCGG